UGGGGGAUAUUGCACAAUGGGCGAAAGCCUGAUGCAGCGACGCCGCGUGGGGGAUGAAGGCCUUCGGGUUGUAAACUUCUUUUGCUCUGAACAAGGCGCACCAUGGGGUGUGUUGAGUGUAGGGGUUGAUUAGCGCCGGCUAACUACGUGCCAGCAGCCGCGGUAAUACGUAGGGCGCGAGCGUUGUCCGGAAUUAUUGGGCGUAAAGGGCUUGUAGGUGGCUGGUUGCGUCUGUCGUGAAAGCUCAUGGCUUAACUGUGGGUUUGCGGUGGGUACGGGCUGGAUUGAGUGCAGUAAGGGAGGCUGGAAUUCCUGGUGUAGCGGUGGAAUGCGCAGAUAUCAUGAGGAAUACCGGUGGCGAAGGCGGGUCUCUGGGCUGUUACUGACACUGAGGAGCGAAAGCAUGGGGAGCGAACAGG
rnacentral:rRNA from 1 species